rnacentral:rRNA from 1 species
UACGUAGGGGGCGAGCGUUGUCCGGAAUUAUUGGGCGUAAAGAGCUCGUAGGCGGCUCAGCAAGUCGGCUGUGAAAUCCCGAGGCUCAACCUCGGAACUGCAGUCGAUACUGCUGUGGCUAGAGUCUGGUAGAGGAGAAUGGAAUUCCCGGUGUAGCGGUGAAAUGCGCAGAUAUCGGGAGGAACACCAGUAGCGAAGGCGGUUCUCUGGGCCAGUACUGACGCUGAGGAGCGAAAGCGUGGGGAGCAAACAGGAUUAGAAACCCCCGUAGUCC